rnacentral:rRNA from 1 species
AACGAACGCUGGCGGCAGGCUUAACACAUGCAAGUCGAACGCCCCGCAAGGGGAGUGGCAGACGGGUGAGUAACGCGUGGGAAUCUACCUAGUUCUACGGAACAACAGUUGGAAACGACUGCUAAUACCGUAUACGCCCUAUGGGGGAAAGAUUUAUCGGAAUUAGAUGAGCCCGCGUAAGAUUAGCUAGUUGGUGAGGUAAUGGCUCACCAAGGCGACGAUCUUUAGCUGGUCUGAGAGGAUGAUCAGCCACACUGGGACUGAGGCACGGCCCAGACUCCUACGGGAGGCAGCAGUGGGGAAUAUUGGACAAUGGGCGCAAGCCUGAUCCAGCCAUGCCGCGUGAGUGAUGAAGGCCUUAGGGUUGUAAAGCUCUUUCAGUAGGGAAGAUAAUGACGGUACCUACAGAAGAAGCCCCGGCUAACUUCGUGCCAGCCGCCGCCGUAAGAC